rnacentral:misc_RNA from 1 species
GAUGAAGAACGUAGCGAAAUGCGAUAAGUAAUGUGAAUUGCAGAAUUCAGUGAAUCAUCGAAUCUUUGAACGCACAUUGCGCCCAUUAGUAUUCUAGUGGGCAUGCCUGUUCGAGCGUCAUUAAGUCCAUUAAGCCUAGUUGCUUAGCGUUGGGAGUAUUACCGUACGGUAACUCCUCAAAGUCAGUGGCAGGGUUACGGUACACUCUAAGCGUAGUAGAUUUCUUUCUCGUUUUUGCUGUGGCCGCGGCCGUUGCCAUAAACCUAUACUUUCUUAGUUGGUUGACCUCGGAUCAGGUAGGAAUACCCGCUGAACUUAAGCAUAUCAAUAAGCGGAGGA